GUUCAUUCGAGUCAACAUCGUGAGCUACAGGAAUGGGAGAACGGAGCAAAGUUUGCUCCGGCGACUUUCGUUGCGCUCGAAAGUACUCCGUGCGAAUUGUUCGGAAGCUGGCAAUCUGCCCGACACCUGUCAGAACCGAGGUUCUGACUGUUUUCUUCAUCAUCCGUAAUAAGUUUCAACCAAUAUAACGAUCGUCGGGCUACUGCUCCUUAUAAUACAAUAAGCAAUUACGAACAGAAAGGUGGAACGGUUAUUUCAUCCAACUCGAUGAAUGUACUUGUCAAAUAUUCUCGGACAACCGUUACAUACGUUGUUUUACAAGAACGAGCUCAUCAAAUUCAUUUCGUAAAUGGCAUUCUAUCGAUAGACACGAUGCGGG